UACAGAGGUCUCAAGCGUUGUUCGGAUUCAUUGGGCGUAAAGGGUGCGUAGGCGGCGCGGUAAGUCGGGUGUGAAAUCUCGGAGCUUAACUCCGAAACUGCAUUCGAUACUGCCGUGCUUGAGGACUGGAGAGGGUAGCGGAAUUCACGGUGUAGCAGUGAAAUGCGUAGAUAUCGUGAGGAACACCAGAGGCGAAGGCGGCUACCUGGACAAUUGCUGACGCUCAGGCACGAAAGCGUGGGGAGCAAAAGGG
rnacentral:rRNA from 1 species